rnacentral:snRNA from 1 species
AGCUUUGCGCAGUGGCAGUAUCGUAGCCAAUGAGGUUUAUCCGAGGCGCGAUUAUUGCUAAUUGAAAAUUACAGGUAGCUUGACCACCGCACCUUGGCAGAGUAUAAAAUUAAAAGAAUGCUAAAGACAGAUUUAUAUUGUAUUUAAUAAUUUGCUCCCAGAUUCAAAACUGAACCUUUGGAAACCUGAAAUGAGG